AUAUUUGAUUCUUAUAUAUUAUGUGGCACCAAUUACGACGAAGCAUGUGCCGUUCUGAAGAUAAUGUGUACAUUUCUUAAUUUAGAGCCCUUUACCGACACACCAUUCUCCUAUAAAAUCUUAUCCUACCUAGCUUAACUCUUCAACAGUUCGCCACAUCAAGAACAAGUCUCUUCAAGUCUUUUACAAGUCAGUCUCAGCAAGAAGUCGAAGAUGCAUCACGGUGACCAUCACGGCGGACCCCCACACCACGGAGGAGGACAUGGUGGUCGCUGAUCAUGGAGCUAGACUACGUACUACUAAUGGUGUACUAGCUAGCUGAAUAAAUCGAUCUCUGUGUGCAUGACUUUGUGGUAUCGAUCGUUUGUGUUAUCGUUUUCCUAGUUGGGUCGAUGAGAUCCUAGCUAUUGGAGCUAAGGAAGUCGACCUUCUGUUUUAAGUCUGUACGUAAUUAUGCAUGGAUGUGUAAUAAAAAACCCUACUAAUUAUGAAUUUUAUUUGUCUCUUUGGCUCAAGAUUGCAGUUACAGAUUAUACAAUAUCCUCAAAUGACUAAGAACAUAAAAAACAGAGCAGUAAUCCUAGCUAAUUGGUGAUUUACAAAAUUCAAGUUGUAUUUGAGUUUAUUGGCUGUCCUAAGCAUCACCUCAGAAAAAAUUGUAUAUGGUACCAAAAAUAUAAGUAAUUAUUU
rnacentral:lncRNA from 1 species